GACUUGGUCAAAGCUCCUCAGUGUGGGUACAAGUCCUGAGAAGUUCUGAACGAGUACA
rnacentral:pre_miRNA from 1 species